UUGAAAACUCGGCACACUAAUCGAAAGAUUAGGUCGCAAAGCUUUGGAGUCUAAUAGUCGUUUGACUAAUGAUCGUCCGGCUGCAAUU
rnacentral:ncRNA from 1 species